UGGCGUCCAGUAAACUUUGUGCACUACUUAUUUUAUUCGUGGUGCUUGGAUUUGUUUGUGGUGCUGCAGUUGAACCAGCUCCAUUAGAAUGUCCUCCCGGAGAAAAGUAUUAUAAAUGUGCUCUACAAGUUUGCUAUAAGACAUGUAAGCAUCUAAAACAACCACCGCCUUGUCCCUCUUUGCAUCCAAGCUGCUUCGAGCCAGAGUGUGUCUGUGAAGGAGAUACAUUAAGAAAUGACGAGGGUGUCUGCGUCACUAUUGAUCAAUGUUAGCAGUCCAGAAUACCUUCCAAUUCAAAGAAAUGUAAGGAAAUAAGUGUAUACAAUUUUCCAUGGAAAGCACUCUUUCUCAUUGUAUGAUAGUCAUAAAUAUGUAGGAAAAGCAUUUAGUAUUUGUUUUCUUU